UACGAAGGGGGCUAGCGUUGUUCGGAAUUACUGGGCGUAAAGCGCACGUAGGCGGACACUUAAGUCAGGUGUGAAAUCCCGGGGCUCAACCUCGGAAUUGCAUUUGAUACUGUGUGGCUAGAGAUAAGUAGAGGAGAGCGGAAUUCCUAGUGUAGAGGUGAAAUUCGUAGAUAUUAGGAGGAACAUCAGUGGCGAAGGCGGCUUACUGGGCUUAUACUGACGCUGAGGCGCGAAAGCGUGGGGAGCAAACAGG
rnacentral:rRNA from 1 species